AAGAGAGCUACGAUACCAGUGUGAGGACAGCACGCUCCAGGCGCAAGGAGUCGUUGGAGGCCAGGUUUAUUGUGCUCCCAGUACUGAUGCUCGCUAUACCUGCUCGACUCAAGUACAGCAACUGAAAUUGAAGUUCAAGAUGACUCCAGUGAUCGCUACUCGUACACACAUGCCCUGUAGUAGCGACUGAUAAUCAGGGUGAUGUGACGCGAACACUUUAACCAGCGAGACGAUAGUGAUACCCAUGACGUAAAGCCCAGCUGAAGUCUGAUCCAUGUGAGAUGUCAUCGACAAUGAAAACUAGCACAAAGCUAAGGCUAUUUUUUUAUAAGUCGCUCAUCAUUAAACAAAUCAAGUCAUCCUUUGUUUUUAGCGUAAGCCAUUCGUCGUAACACAAGGCAGGAGGAAGGGGAGAGGCAGAAGGGCGUUUUCCCUCCCCCUAA